UUCGGUUGACCUUAUGACGCUUUACGAUACGCUUUCAAAGAGUCGAGUUGUUUGGGAUUGCAGCUCAAAAUGGGAGGUAAAUUUCUCCUAAGGCUAAAUAUCGGCGAGAGACCGAUAGCGAACAAGUACCGUGAGGGAAAGAUGAAAAGAACUUUGAAAAGAGAGUAAAAUAGUACGUGAAAUUGUUGAAAGGGAAACGAUUGAAGUCAGUCGUACCGACGAGAAAUCAACCUUUCGAGUGCGAACUUGUGGGCGUGCGUGAGUCUUUAACGGGCCUCGCUGUUUGCAAUGUUUGUCCUUUUGGGGUGUACUUUUUCGUAUGGUAGGCCAACGUCAGUUUUGAUCACCGUAAAAUGAUCGGAGGAAUGUAGCUUUGAUCUCGUAUUGAAGUGUUAUAGCCUCUGGUAGAUGCGGUGACCGAAACUGAGGAUUGCAACGAAUACCCUCUGGGCUAUCCGUCUGACCUCUGAAAGUUGCUUAGGUGCCGAAAGCGUGCUUACGGCUAUUUAAGUUGACGGUCAACAGGUUAGAACGUGAUUACAUU
rnacentral:rRNA from 1 species